CAGGUAGUGUGUCCAGGUCUAGCAGGGCAGAGUCAGACAGACAGAGACAGGUAGUGUACUUGUUAAACUCAGGUAGUUUGUCCAGGUCUAGCAGGGCAGAGUCAGACAGAGACAGGUAGUGUACUUGUUAAACUCAGGUAGUUUGUCCAGGUCUAGCAGGGCAGAGUCAGACAGAGACAGGUAGUGUACUUGUUAAACUCAGGUAGUUUGUCCAGGUCUAGCAGGGCAGAGACAGACAGACAGAGACAGGUAGUGUACUUGUUAAACUCAGGUAGUUUGUCCAGGUCUAGCAGGGCAGAGACAGACAGAGACAGGUAGUGUACUUGUUAAACUCAGGUAGUUUGUCCAGGUCUAGCAGGGCAGAGACAGACAGAGACAGGUAGUGUACUUGUUAAACUCAGGUAGUUUGUCCAGGUCUAGCAGGGCAGAGUCAGACAGA